rnacentral:lncRNA from 1 species
UACUAACAUGAUCUCAUGAUAUUAGGCUUUCUGUAGUAUCAAACAAGGACCGCCAAAUUGGAAUUGGACCCAUGUCGGUUGGUCGGCGGCAUAGUUUGGUAUGGAUCUGUAUUGGUUUGUGCCGAACCGAAUUGAUCGGGUACAGAAGGAGAGAGGGAUCUGUGCCGAGCCGAAUUGACAGGGUAGAGAAGGAGAAGAAAGAGAGGAAGAGAAAGAGAGAGGGAAUAAAAGUAGAGAAAGAGGAAGAGAGGAUUUUCGGCGGC